rnacentral:rRNA from 1 species
UCAAGAGGGCGUGAAACCGCUGAGAAGGAAACGGAUAGAGUUGACGAAACUUGGUGACAUUCAACCAAUUGCCUUUGCGACCCCACGGUUUUACGCCUCGAUGAGGGUAAAGACGUGGUUAGUUGCAGCGAAUGCAGAUUGGUGUAUUUGUUGCCGGUAUGCGCCGAGAAAUUCGCUUUUGUGUGCCAACGCUUGCGUAGAGGCCCACUCCCAUCUGGGCGUGGAAACCUUCUCAGGAAGAGGCAUGUUGGAGGUGAAUGAAGUUAGAGGGUCUUGGCAUUAGCGCAACGGUUUUUGCUGGUUGGCGUAACCGUUGGGCGGUCGCAUGCGACUUGCCUACGGUUAUUAGCCGGUCAGUGAUGAUGCGGUUGCGUUGAGACCUAAACUCGGUGUGAAAGUUAACCACCUAUCCGACCCGUCUUGAAACACGGACCAAGGAGUCUAGCAUAUGCGCGAGUCAUUGGGUGGAAAACCUAAAGGCGUAAUGAAAGUAAAGGUCGUCUUGAUGCGGCUGAUAUGGGAUCCGUUUGGUUCGUAGCCAAGCGGCGCACCAUAGUCCCGUCCCCGUUGCUUGCAAUAGGGCGGAGAUGGAGCGCAUACGCUGGGACCCGAAAGAUGGUGAACUAUGCCUGAGCAGGAUGAAGCCAGAGGAAACUCUGGUGGAGGUCCGAAGCGGUUCUGACGUGCAAAUCGAUCGUCUGACUUGGGUAUAGGGGCGAAAGACUAAUCGAACCAUCUAGUAGCU